UUUCUCCCAGAAUCCUCCAAGGCGCGGGAGGGGGCGGAGAGCUUAAAAGUCGCGGGGGGAGCGGACUUCCGCUGUUUUAGGGAGGGAGAGCGGCCUGGGUCCUGGGUGUUGUGUGCGGAGCUGUGGCGUCGCGUGUGAGGCGCGUGCAGGGUGAGUGUGAGUGGACGCGUGAGUGUGUGAGUGUGCGCGCUUGGAGCGUGUUAGGCGAGUGCGUGCGCCCACCCCUGCGCCCCUCCUCCCGCUUACACUUUGAUCUUAUUUGAUCGGAUCGUGACCCCAGCCCCGCCGGGCCGACCCGAAAUGAAAAGCUCUCCUCCUGCGAAGCCCCCUCGGGGCGCUGUGCAGCGAGGCCCCUUAGGCGGCGGCCACGCUGUGGUCCCCGAGGUCCCGGAGCUGGCCCUGCGGGGCCCGGCGCUCAGAAGUGAUGAAUUGAUCAGAUAGACGAGGCCGGGCUUGUCCCCGGCCACUGAUUAUCGAGGCGAUUCUGAUCUGGGCACGGCCACCGGGCUGCGGGCUGCCGGUGGCGUAGGGGCGAGCACGUGAACGGCGGCGGCGGGCGGGGAUGCUGAGCGCGGUGGCCAAGGGUAAAUGAGCCGCUGCCCCUCCCCCUGGAGCUGGAAGGUCGCGGAGGCCUUUUUGGCCGCUGAUAUACUUUCCUCCCACUUUCCCAUUUCUCCUUGUUUUUCUUUUUUCUUUUGUUCCUUUUUUUUUUUUUUUGAGACAGGGUCUUGCUCUGUCGCCCAGACUGGAGUGCAGAACCGCAAUAUCGGCUCACUGCAACUUCGACCUCCUUGGCUCAAGCGAUCCUCACAUCUCUGUCUCCCGAAUAGGUGGAACUACAGGCGCGCGUCACCACGCUCGGCUAAUUUUUGUAUCUUUUGGUAGAGACGGGGUUUCACCAUGUUUUGCCAGGCUGGUCUCGAACUCCAGCCUCAAGUGAUCCGCCCGCCUCGGCUUCCCAAAGUGCUGGGAUUACAGGCAUGAGCCACCGCGCCCGGCCCCUUUUUUAGUUUUUCUUUCUUUCUUUUUUUUUUUUGAAACGGUCUCACUCUGUUUCUCAGGCUGGAGUGCAGUGGCGCAAUCAUAGUUCACUGCAGUCUCGACCUCCCAGGCUCAAGAGAUUCUCCUACCUCAGCCUGCCCAGUAGCUGGGACUAUCAGUGCACGCCAUAACGCCAGUCCUCUCCUUGUUUUUCUUUAGGCUUGGCUUGACUUUUUUUUUUUUUUUUUUUUUGAGACGGAGUCUUGCUCUGUCGCCCAGGCUGGAGUGCAGUGGCACGAUCUCGGCUCACUGCAAGCUCCGCCUCCCGGGUUCACGCCAUUCUGCCUCAGCCUCCCGAGUGGCUGGGACUACAGGCGCCCACCACCACGCCCGGCUAAAUUUUUGUAUUUUUUAGUAGAGACGGGGUUUCACCAUGUUAGCCAGGAUGGUCUCGAUCUCCUGACCUGGUGAUCCACCCACCUCGGCCUCCCAAAGUGCUGGGAUUACAGGCGUGAGCUACGGCGCCCGGCCGGCUUGACAUUUUUUGUAUGCUACCAACACUUGUAUCCCCAGGGCUAACGGCAUGGUACAGCAUCUGCCGCUAAGGGUUAUACACACACUGUCUAGUAUGUCCUUAUACAUGUAUAUGUCCAUUAAGAGAACAUGAAAUGUUCCAGGGACACUCCUGGAAUAUACUGAAUUAGAAUUAUCAGGGAGGUCUAGGAAUCCAUGUUUUUAAAAGCAAAUGCCUUUUUUUGAUGUUUAGUAUCUCAACCUCCAUAAUGUGAUUAUCCAGGUAGUCAUGCCUCUGCCACCUUAAGCCACUCUAAAUAAUGAGAUCUGAAACUUCAUAUAGCCACUUGGCAGCAGAUAUGUGAAUAGGUCGGAAAGUCUGGGUGGAAGGGGACUCUAUUUAUUUAUUUAUUUAGAGACGGAGCCUCACUCUGUUGCCCAGGCUGGAGUGCAGUGGCGCGAUCUUGGCUCACUGCAACCUCCACCUCCCGGGUUCAAGCAAUUCUUCUGUCUCAGCCUCCCAAAUAGCUGGGACUACAGGCACGCACCACCACGCCCAGCUAAUUUUGUAUUUUUAGUAGAAACGGGGUUUCACCAUGUUGCCCAGGCUGGUCUUGAACCCCUGACCUCAGAUGAUCCACCCACUUCAGCCUUCUAAAGUGCUGGGAUUGUAAUUCCAAAGUGCUGGGUGGCGUGAGCCACCGCGCCUGGCUGGAAGGGGACUCUUAACAGUUUGGCUUAAGGACCCUCCACCUGAGUGCCUGAAAGAAGCCCUUUCAUAUCUGAAUUGCUCAGCAAUUAUGUUGUCAAACUUAAUUAGAAAUGGGAAUUUAUUGCACGAUAUUCUAUUAUUUUUCCUUUUUUUAUUUUACUUUUUUUUUUUUUUAGACAGAGUUUCGCUCCUGUUGACCAGUCUGGAGUGCAGUGGCCCCAUCUCAGCUCACUGCAACCUCCCCCUCUGGGGUUAAAGGGAGUCUCCUGCCUCAGCUUCCCAAGUAGCUGGAGUUACAGGCGCCCACCACCACACCCGGCUAAUUUUUUGGUAUUUUUAGUAGAGAUGGGGUUUCACCAUGUUGGCUAGACUGGUAUGGAACUCCUGACAUCAGGUGAUCCACCUACCUCAGCCUCCGAAAGUGUUGGGAUUGCAGGCAUGAACCACUGUGCCUGGCUUGUUUUAAUUCUUAAUUUUUUUUUUUUUUCCCUUGGAUGCAGUCUCACUCUGUCGCCCAGGCUGGAGUGCAGUGGCUCCGUCUCGGCUCACUGCAACCUCCACCUCCCGGGUUCAAGCGAUUCUCCUGCCUCAGCCUCCCGAGUAGCUAGGAUUACAGGCGUGUGCCACCACACCCAGCUAAUUUUUGUAUUUUUAGUAGAGACAAGGUUUCACCAUGUUGGCCAGGCUGGUAUCGAACUGGCUGGUCGCAAACUCCUGACCUUGUGAUCUCCUGGUCUCAGCCUCCCAAAGUGCUGGGAUUACAGGCAUGAGCCACCGCGCCCAGCCAAUUCUUAAAUUCUUGAUAUUACAGAACUAAAGUGAAACUUAUUAACAUUUCACUCUUAAAUAUUUUAUCGACAAAUAAAAUUCAUGACCCAAAAAGCCCAAAACAAAACUAAAAACAGGGAAAAGCUUAUAAAAUUAAAAAUGGUUCCCAGCAUUAACAGCUGAACAGAGAAUGUGAUUUUAAAAUUCUUAGCAGAUGAUGUUGUGUAGAAACUGAACACUUACAAAUUAUUUAAAAGCUGGAAUCACUCACCAGAAACUACACAGUUGGAUCAUGGGAAAACAGCACAAAGGGGUUAUUGAGGGAACCUACACUAUUCUAGCUGCGCUCCGUACCCUUCUCAGAGGAAAGCCUGGCAUUGAUUAAAUACUGGCCCAGACUGACACUAGCAGCAGAGCCCCUGAUGGUACCCUGCCUAUCAAGACCCUUCCACUGGGUUGGCAGUUUUGAUCUGGGCCCCGGACAUCCGGCGGAUCUCAUUAAUGUUGGCGCCUUGGGGGCCGAUUACACAGCCAAUUAAGUUAUCUGGAAUGGUGAAUUUGUGGGUGGUUUGAGUAGAUUUUUGUUUGGUUGUUUUUUUUUUUUUUUUUUUUUGAGACGGAGUCUCGCUCAGUAGCCCAGGCUGGAGUGCAGUGGCGUGAUCUGGGCUCACUGCAAGCUCUGCCUCCCGGGUUCACGCCAGUCUCCUGCCUCAGCCUCCCGAGUAGAUUACAGGCGCCCGCCACUAUGCCCGGCUAGUUUUUUUUUUUUUUUUUUUUUGUAUUUUUAGUAGAGACGGGGUUUCACCAUGUUAGCCGGGAUGGUCUGGAUCUCCUGACCUCGUGAUCCGCCUCGGCCUCCCAAAGUGCUGGGAUUACAGGCGUGAGCCACCGCGUCCAGCCUUGGUUGUUUUUUUUUUUUAGACGGAGUCCUGCUUUGUCACC
rnacentral:lncRNA from 1 species